rnacentral:rRNA from 1 species
UACGGGGGGGGCAAGCGUUGUUCGGAAUUACUGGGCGUAAAGGGCUUGUAGGUGGCCAACUAAGUCAGACGUGAAAUCCCUCGGCUUAACCGGGGAAGUGCGUCUGAUACUGGAUGGCUAGAGUGUGGGAGAGGGAUGCGGAAUUCCAGGUGUAGCGGUGAAAUGCGUAGAUAUCUGGAGGAACACCGGUGGCGAAGGCGGCAUCCUGGACCACGACUGACACUGAAAAGCGAAAGCCAGGGGAGCAAACGGG